UACGAAGGGGGCUAGCGUUGUUCGGAAUCACUGGGCGUAAAGCGCACGUAGGCGGAUCGUUAAGUCGGGGGUGAAAUCCCAGGGCUCAACCCUGGAACUGCCUUCGAUACUGGCGAUCUUCGAGUCCGGGAGAGGUGAGUGGAACUCCGAGUGUAGAGGUGAAAUUCGUAGAUAUCUGGAGGAACACCGGUGGCGAAGGCGGCAUUCUGGACCGAAACUGACGCUGAUGCGCGAAAGCCAGGGGAGCAAACGGG
rnacentral:rRNA from 1 species